CACGCCGUAAACGUUGAGAACUAAGUGUUGGGGAGACCCAGUGCUGAAGCUAACGCAUUAAGUUCUCCGCCUGAGGAGUACGCACGCAAGUGCAAAACUUAAAGGAAUUGACGGGGGCCCGCACAAGCAGUGGAGCAUGUGGUUUAAUUCGAGGCUACGCGAAGAACCUUACCAGGGCUUGACAGGAAACUUAAGACCCUAGAGAUAGGGGGAUAAUAAGUGAAACAGGUGG
rnacentral:rRNA from 1 species